UACGGGGGGAGCAAGCGUUGUUCGGAUUUACUGGGCGUAAAGGGCGCGUAGGCGGUCAGCACAAGUCAGUUGUGAAAUCUCCGGGCUUAACUCGGAAAGGUCAACUGAUACUGUGCGACUAGAGUGCAGAAGGGGCAACUGGAAUUCUCGGUGUAGCGGUGAAAUGCGUAGAGAUGUGGAGGAAUACCGAUGGCGAAGGCAGCCCCCUGGGAUAACACUGACGCUCAUGCACGAAAGCGUGGGGAGCAAACAGG
rnacentral:rRNA from 1 species